rnacentral:rRNA from 1 species
UACGAAGGGGGCUAGCGUUGUUCGGAAUUACUGGGCGUAAAGGGCGCGUAGGCGGCAAUUCAAGUCAGUUGUGAAAUCUCCGAGCUUAACUCGGAACGGUCAACUGAUACUGUCUUGCUAGAGUACAGAAGGGGCAAUCGGAAUUCUUGGUGUAGCGGUGAAAUGCGUAGAUAUCAAGAGGAACACCUGAGGUGAAGACGGGUUGCUGGGCUGAUACUGACGCUGAGGCGCGAAAGCUAGGGUAGCAAACGGG